UACGAAGGGGGCUAGCGUUGUUCGGAAUUACUGGGCGUAAAGGGCGCGUAGGCGGCGUGUCAAGUCAGGCGUGAAAGCCCCGGGCUCAACCUGGGAACCGCGCUUGAGACUGGCAUGCUCGAGUUCGGGAGAGGAUGGUGGAAUUCCCAGUGUAGCGGUGAAAUGCGUAGAUAUUGGGAAGAACACCGGUGGCGAAGGCGGCGACCUGGUCCGAUACUGACGCUGAGGCGCGAAAGCGUGGGGAGCGAACAGG
rnacentral:rRNA from 1 species